rfam:Bacillus halodurans C-125 DNA, complete genome.
GGAGGAGUACCCAAGUCUGGCUGAAGGGAUCGGUCUUGAAAACCGACAGGCGGGUUAAACCGCGCGGGGGUUCGAAUCCCUCCUCCUCCG